GACGAACGCUGGCGGCGUGCUUAACACAUGCAAGUCGAACGGUAAGGCCCUUCGGGGUACACGAGUGGCGAACGGGUGAGUAACACGUGGGUGAUCUGCCCUGCACUUCGGGAUAAGCCUGGGAAACUGGGUCUAAUACCGGAUAGGACUCCUGGCUUCAUGGUUGGGGGUGGAAAGCUUUUGCGGUGUGGGAUGGGCCCGCGGCCUAUCAGCUUGUUGGUGGGGUAAUGGCCUACCAAGGCGACGACGGGUAGCCGGCCUGAGAGGGUGACCGGGCACACUGGGCCUGGGAUACGGCGCAGACUCCUACGGGAGGCAGCAGUGGGGAAUAUUGCACAAUGGGCGCAAGCCUGAUGCAGCGACGCCGCGUGAGGGAUGACGGCCUUCGGGUUGUAAACCUCUUUCAGCACCGACGAAGCGCAAGUGACGGUAGGUGCAGAAGAAGGACCGGCCAACUACGUGCCAGCCGCCGCCGUAA
rnacentral:rRNA from 1 species